ACUGCUGCAUUUUACGUUGAUUUCAUCGCAGACUCCAUGGAUGAAAAUGUGCGCCCUCACAAUUCAACAGCCGCUCACCAUUGGCUCCUCCGUAUCACUGUUAAUGUUUGUGGUAAGGUAGCCACGAAUGGAUGUUUCUACAACGUCAUUGUUCAUAACAUUUCCCAAGGAUCAACGCACCAUGGUCAAUUCUUAAUAUGACAUGGGUGCGAUCCUACUUGUCGUGCUCAGCAAAAUGAUGAGGGAGGAUGGAGAUGGUGUUGUACAGAUGUUGAGACACAGAGGCAUGUUGUUUGCUCCAUUGAUGCUUUUCUCGAUUGUAUAUCCAGUGACACAUCACAACACCCUUUACUAAAGACUUUCCAUACUUCUCUCUUUAGAACUUAAAUAGGACAGGAUCAAAUUCAAAGCAGUGGCACAUGAAAUAUCAACUGGUACAUGACAAGAAGACAAAGAAGAUGAUACAUGAUGGACCACAUCCAAUACCAGAAAUUCAAUAAUUGAAUUAGGUAUAACAUUGACCAUGCUGAUUCUAGAUAUUGCUGCUGCUAUCCAUCAAUUCAGUUCAUGGUACGUUGGGCGAGGUGCACGUGGACGAACCAGGUCUUCGAAGGGCUAAUCCUGCAUCAACAUAAUAAACCAUCCAUUCAACAAACCAAUUUACACUCAUCGGAACAUCAUCUGACCUUAUCGGCAGUGAUCCCACUACUGUUCAAGGCCGUGAUUCACUUGUAAACAAAGUCUAAGAGAUUUCAGUCUGUGAACACAUUCAAUUAUUUGUCUGAUAAAUAUUUUUGACUUGUAGUUUUCAUUCCUGUUAAAU